UAGUUAUCUUUAUGAUUGAUUAAGCAUUGAUAUUUGGUUACCGCGGGUGAUCCCUGAAUGUGUUGAAAAGUAAUUGAUGUAUAGUGGACAGAGAAACUAUGCGGUUGUUGAAAAGUCAUCGAAAUAUAGUUGACCGGGAAAUAUGAUUGAAAAUGCAUCGAAAUAUAGUUAACCGGGAAAUAUGAUUGAAAAUCCAUCGAUUUUUGGUUGACCGGGAGAUCAACGGGUGGUAUACCCAACGUACUGCACCGGACACAGCUCAUUUCUGGACCCUUGGCACAAGCGUACAGUUCUGCGCGAGCGGGGAGCAGAGUUGCCAUGGAAACGGGGCGUCAACACAAAAACCGUUACUGGCAAGCAGUAAUCUCCAUCUCUCGCUGGGGUUUACACUGUUUUAGAAAUGGUUUAGUGUCUUCGAAAAAGUCCGUUAGCGUCUUAACAGUUUUCAGGAUGACAGAAAGAAACUCUACAGAACAAAGUGAAACUCCCAAGAUUUUUGAAAAGAAAAUUGGUGAAAAUAUAUUCUGAGAAAGGCAUAUUAAUCUAUUUCAUGAGCUUCUUCAGUAGGGGUGUCACGAUUUCGAUUUUAAAUCGAAAUCGAUCGAA